UUAGAACAAUCCUAAUGAACCUUCUUUAAUUUAAUACAUGAAUAUAUCUAAGUUUGACAACCCAAUACAAUUCAAAUGAGAACAAAUUCCAUAGUCCAACAGUUUCUAUGAGUCUAUUUACACAUUUAUAGAAACUCGUAUGAUAUUUAGUAAUUAAAAUAUCUAAGACACAAAUCAGUAAAAUAGCAAACUCAAAUUUAAGCUUCAAUUCUUCAUGUAGAUAUCAUGCUCAAAGUUUCCAGCUUACAAAUUGGCAGGAUUACAUCUGUGUACCUGGAAAUAGAAUUUUAUCAGGGGAAAAGGAUGAGCAGCAGCUAUACAAUGGCAGAACCAGAGAGAUUCAGGCAGCAACACUUCGAGUUAAUCAACAGCAACAAUAAACAACCCAAGAAGUCGGAAUAUAGCCCCAGGAAUGUUUGAAAACCAAUAGCAACAGUAGUUACUCGAGCCAAGGGACUCAGUUGAAUUUAAAACACACCCAAAAUAGAAGAUGCAACCUAGGGAUGAUUCCAGCACACAUCCAAGGACCAAAACAAGACCAGAAAAUCCUAAAAUCAACCCAACUUUAGCCCCAGUAGGUGUGAAAUCACUGGAAUAUGACCACACUACUUCAAUGAACCCAAAAUUUAAUGGAACACCUAAGAGUAUAAAGAAAACUAACAGCAAACAGAAUCAGAUCUUCCAAAUACUCAAUGAAACAGUAUCCAUUUUUGUUUUUUUUUGGUUUGUUUUUGGUUUUCUAAUUUUCUGAUGUUUUUUUGUACUUUUCAAUAUUGGAAUUCGAAAUGCUAAUCUGAAAUUAACAUAAAGGAAAAGAGAAAAAUCUUUUGGUGGGAAUAUUUGGGCUCCCCCAAAAAAAGACCUCUUCCCUAAGACAUUUGAUGCCCUUUUAUAGGCAACCAAAAAGGGGUAAAUCAGAUUUUUUGAUUUCUUUUUAGUCCUUUUCUAUUUUCAGUUUGGUCCCUUUAUUUUUGACUUGCUCAACAAGUAAAUACCUCUAUUGUGCUAACAUCUACACUAAAGUACCCUUCUAGAAGGCCCUAGGAUGCUCUUCUACCCCCAAAAUACCUAUACUACCCUUACUCCUACUUUGAAAUUACUAUUCCUAAAGAAACUACCCUUUUCUAUGUCUAAAAUGCCCUUUCAAUAGUCUGAAAAUUACAGAUUAAGGUUAACUGAUCCCAAUCCCCUCACCCUAGCUAAAACUUAACUAAAGUUAAUUAACAAAUGACUUACUCAGCUAUAUCCAAUCCACCUAUCUUAAACACUACACCAGUUAACACUAAAAUUGAAUGAUCAACUAAUACUAACUGAAAUCAAUCCCAAGUAAAUUCCACAUCCAACUUCAUACGAACAGGAUAAAGAGGAAACUUAAUUAUGUUAUCGACCAAUUAGCAAUUGAAUGCUUAACUAACAAAACCAAUAAUCAACACAGAAAUUUGCAUAAAAGAAACGAAAGUGAAAAUUAAUCAGAAAAAGAAAUAUGCUAAACAUUCAUAUCACUCAUAGAGGUAAACUUAAACUAAACUGGAAAUCACAAUUAAACAAGACAACGAAUUAAACUAAAAAACUAAAGAAGGAAAGAGAGAAAUCUUACUGCAAUUUUAGUCUUCAAACCAAAAAACUUCGAAAUUAACUUCAAGUUAAUAUUAUAGGCCCAUUUCAUAAGAAAUAGACCUAUGAUAUUAACCUGAGGUCACUCGUCUUGAAAAAAAAACCCUCCAAACAACAUAAAACAGCGGGAACCUUGGAUUCAAAAUUCGUCCAGUUCCGGUGUUAUUUGACAGAAAUUAAUGAGAUAUUAGGGAUGAGGGAGGUCAAGGGAAGAUAUGGUGUGAAUUUGGGCGAGAUUGGAUGAGUUAGGGUUUUUGACCGGAUUUUCGAUCUAAGAUUCGAGGAGAUGGGUUGUGAUUCGAAAGAAAUUGAGCUUGGAUAUAGGAAGGGGAGGAGGAGAGGAGUAUAUGGUGAAAUUUUGGGUGUAUUUGGAGCUGGAACGCUGCCGUGGGGCGAUUUCCGGCGGCGGUUUAGGGCGGAGCCGGUGACCUCAUCUCUGAGGUGAGAGCGUGAGGUGAGAGAGACG
rnacentral:lncRNA from 1 species